rnacentral:tRNA from 1 species
GGAGAGAUGUCCGAGAGGCCGAAGGAGCACGCUUGGAAAGCGUGUGUGGCGCAAGUCACCGAGGGUUCGAAUCCCUCUCUCUCCG